GCAAGGCAUGCAUUUGACACAAACUGCAAGACUGACCUUGUAGUUAACAAUUUGUCUGAGGUGUUCAACAAGUAUGUCCUAGAUGUUAGGAAGAAACCAAUUAGGACAAUGUGUGAUGGAAUAAAGGAUAAACAGAUGAUGAGGUGGCAUAGGAAUAGGGAGAGUGCAAAGACAGCUAGAUGGGACAUAACACCCCAUUAUAGUGAGAAGCUAGAGGUUGAAAAGGAGAGGGCCAAAUAUUGCAAACCAAUUCAAGCUGGUGUGAACUUGUGGCAGGUUACAAGUGGGCAGCAAACCCAUGCUGUUGACUUGCAAGUGCACACAUGUGGGUGCAGAAAAUGGGACCUCAGUGGCAUCCCAUGUAACCAUGCCAUCUCAGCAAUCAAC
rnacentral:rRNA from 1 species